rnacentral:misc_RNA from 1 species
UUAAAGGUUAGCAUUUAGCAUCAACUUCAUGAUGCUGUAGGAUUCAUGAAACUUAAUCAUGAUAUCCAUUUUGUCAUAGACAUUUUAUAUAGUUCCAUUGUGGGACAGAUACAUGAAUAUGCAUCACGGAUUCGCAUAUACAGAUGUAAUAAUUUGCUUUGGGUUUAUUUUGUUGAUAAAAUGUAGUAUAAGCCUUCUAGUUAUUUUGAUAAGAAAGUGUAGUGUUAGGUUUCCUCUCACUAUGUUGGAUUUUGUGGAUGGUAAGUAGUUGGAGGGCUUUUGAAGGGGGAAAGUCAUUUCUCUCAGAUCUAGUAGAUUUAGUUUUUG